GGCAGCCUGUUUCUGGAAAGAUUAGAAACCAGCCUUGAAAUUUGUCUAUAUUGAAAACCAUGCUUUACCACACCCUUGCUACAUUCUGUAUAACCGCAAUUUAAGCUAUCCUGCAGGCUAUGACCAAGAUAUAAAAACGAGAAACUGCCUUAACUCUGAGGCCAGUCUACAAGGACUCGUUUUCUGAGGCUGGCCAUUACCUAGCAAUAAACUUCUUUUUUUAUUUUACCCAACUCUCCUGUCUCUGGAAGAUCAUUUCGACUCCCAAUUUUCCGCAACACAGGAAGCUGAGAUUCUGCAGGAAGCUGGAUGAGCCGCUCUGAGGAAGCUGCAAAACUUACAACUCUCCUCCUUCAUCACCUUCUGUUGGAGAAUUUCCUUCCUGGCGCAGCUGCCAGCACCCACUCCAGCCCAGGCCUACCUCAUGGGCUACUCUAACGGAGACUGUACUGAAGGUUGCUUCAAGUUCCUUUACAAAAGCGUUAAAUAUUUAAUGAAGGGAUUACAUAGAAAGGUAUUUAAAGAAAGGGGUGGAUCAGCCGGGGCUUUGAUAAAUCCUGUGUCUCUGGGAGGAGCUAAGCGGCCUAGUCUUCCCACUCCAGUCUGCAUCCCUUCCCGCCAUGGACUUGAACAGCCCUCCAAGCAAAGAAAAAGAAAAAGAAAUCUGGAAAGGCAAGAUAGUUUACAACCAUAUCCAAAAGGAGACCCUCCUAAGAAUGGUUUAAACACAAUCCUCACCCGGAUAAAGUUACCACGGAACAACUGGCCCAAGAAAUUGGUGUUCCAGCAUCUAAAAUUAAGGUAGGCACUAGAUUUCUCUUGUCAGCACCAUGGGGAAGAGAAAAGCUAGGCUCAGCACUUUCAGGCAGUUAUCGUGAUGUCACAUACUUCACUAAGAUUUUUCUCCUGUCUUAUAAUUCUAAAAACAAAAAAUAACAAGAACCACUUAUAUCUUUCACCAAAGGUAGAAAUAUCAUUGGUGGGUAUUUACUGAUAAAGGGAGAAUAUACUAGCUAAGACCGUACCUGUUAAACUACAUUUUGAAAUGAUUGGAUUUUUUUUUUUGUACCGGAGAUCGAACUCGGGACCUUGCACUUGCAAGCUAGGCAGCAACACCAUUGAGCUACUGAACUAAACCCCCGGGGUUUUUUUUUUUGAGACAGG
rnacentral:lncRNA from 1 species